AUGGAGGAUGGUGGACUAGGCCUCGCUGCUUUGUCGGGACUGACUGUCCAAUUAUGGGAAAGGAAACUUAACUGUGACGGUGUUGUCGGAUGGGUGUUGCUGCAGAAAACCAUUCCUUUGGAGGGGUUGCUUCCAAGCACAAAGCCUUUGGUAUUUAUCGUGGGGUAUGAUGAGGACACAAAUGCGAUUGUUCUGUCUACGGGGAUUGGCAACUUCAUGAUCCAACUUGACUCAAUGCAGAUCAAACAUAUCAUUAAAAGAAAUGACAUGUGUAUUGACAUGUUUUAUCCCUACCAUAAUUUCUACACUGCAGGCAGGGGAGUUGGGUGGAAAUGGGUGGAACUGGAACUUUGA
rnacentral:rRNA from 1 species